UACAUAGGGGGCAAGCGUUAUCCGGAAUUAUUGGGUGUAAAGGGUGCGUAGACGGGUAAUUAAGUUGGUUGUGAAAUCCCUCGGCUCAACUGAGGAACUGCAACCAAAACUGGUUAUCUUGAGUGUCGGAGAGGAAAGUGGAAUUCCUAGUGUAGCGGUGAAAUGCGUAGAUAUUAGGAGGAACACCAGUGGCGAAGGCGACUUUCUGGACGAUAACUGACGUUGAGGCACGAAAGUGUGGGGAGCAAACAGGAUUAGAUACCCCAGUAGUCC
rnacentral:rRNA from 1 species